GACGAACGCUGGCGGCGUGCUUAACACAUGCAAGUCGAACGGAAAGGCCCUGCUUUUGUGGGGUGCUCGAGUGGCGAACGGGUGAGUAACACGUGAGUAACCUGCCCUUGACUUUGGGAUAACUUCAGGAAACUGGGGCUAAUACCGGAUAGGAUCUCCUGCUGCAUGGUGGGGGUUGGAAAGUUUCGGCGGUUGGGGAUGGACUCGCGGCUUAUCAGCUUGUUGGUGGGGUAGUGGCUUACCAAGGCUUUGACGGGUAGCCGGCCUGAGAGGGUGACCGGCCACAUUGGGACUGAGAUACGGCCCAGACUCCUACGGGAGGCAGCAGUGGGGAAUAUUGCACAAUGGGCGGAAGCCUGAUGCAGCAACGCCGCGUGCGGGAUGACGGGCUUCGGGUUGUAAACCGCUGUCGCCUGUGACGAAGCGUGAGUGACGGUAAUGGGUAAAGAAGCACCAGCUAACUACGUG
rnacentral:rRNA from 1 species